rnacentral:rRNA from 1 species
GACGAACGCUGGCGGCGUGCUUAACACAUGCAAGUCGAACGAAGAGCGAUGGAAGCUUGCUUCUAUCAAUCUUAGUGGCGAACGGGUGAGUAACGCGUAAUCAACCUGCCCUUCAGAGGGGGACAACAGUUGGAAACGACUGCUAAUACCGCAUACGAUCUAAUCUCGGCAUCGAGGAUAGAUGAAAGGUGGCCUCUACAUGUAAGCUCUCACUGAAGGAGGGGAUUGCGUCUGAUUAGCUAGUUGGAGGGGUAACGGCCCACCAAGGCGAUGAUCAGUAGCCGGUCUGAGAGGAUGAACGGCCACAUUGGGACUGAGACACGGCCCAGACUCCUACGGGAGGCAGCAGUGGGGAAUCUUCCGCAAUGGACGAAAGUCUGACGGAGCAACGCCGCGUGAGUGAUGACGGCCUUCGGGUUGUAAAGCUCUGUUAAUCGGGACGAAAGGCCUUCUUGCGAAUAGUGAGAAGGAUUGACGGUACCGGAAUAGAAAGCCACGGCUAACUACGUG